rnacentral:rRNA from 1 species
CACGGAGUUAGCCGGGGCUUAUUCUCCCGGUACUGUCAUUAUCAUCCCGGGUAAAAGAGCUUUACAACCCUAAGGCCUUCAUUACUCACGCGGCAUUGCUGGAUCAGGCUUGCGCCCAUUGUCCAAUAUUCCCCACUGCUGCCUCCCGUAGGAGUCUGGGCCGUGUCUCAGUCCCAGUGUGGCUGAUCAUCCUCUCAGACCAGCUAAGGAUCGUCGCCUUGGUGCGCCUUUACCACACCAACUAGCUAAUCCUACGCGGGCUCAUCCUCAGGCGAUAAAUCUUUGGACUUAACGUCAUCAUCCGGUAUUAGCAGUCAUUUCUAACUGUUAUUCCGAACCUAAGGGCAGAUUCCCAGCGUUACGCACCCGUGCGCCACUAGACCCCGAAGGAUCUCGUUCGACUUGCAUGUGUUAGGCAUCGCCGCCAGCGUUCGUUCUGUAGCCGAGGAUCGAAAACUCU